rnacentral:rRNA from 1 species
UACGAAGGGGGCUAGCGUUGCUCGGAAUCACUGGGCGUAAAGGGCGCGUAGGCGGCGUUUUUAAGUCGGGGGUGAAAGCCUGUGGCUCAACCACAGAAUGGCCUCGAUACUGGGACGCUUGAGUAUGGUAGAGGUUGGUGGAACUGCGAGUGUAGAGGUGAAAAUUCGUAGAUAUUCGCAAGAACACCAGUGGCGAAGGCGGCUCACUGGCCCGAUACUGACGCUGAGGCACGAAAGCGUGGGGAGCAAACAGGG